CAGUAGCCGCGGGAAUACAGAGGAUGCAAGCGUUAUCCGGAAUGAUUGGGCGUAAAGCGUCUGUAGGUGGCUUUUCAAGUCCGCCGUCAAAUCCCAGGGCUCAACCCUGGACAGGCGGUGGAAACUACCAGGCUGGAGUACGGUAGGGGCAGAGGGAAUUUCCGGUGGAGCGGUGAAAUGCGUUGAGAUCGGAAAGGACACCAACGGCGAAAGCACUCUGCUGGGCCGACAUUGACACUGAGAGACGAGAGCUAGGGGAGCAAAUGGGAUUAGAUACCCGCGUAGUCCCUGUCUCUUAUAC
rnacentral:rRNA from 1 species